rnacentral:rRNA from 1 species
UAUUCUGGUGUCUUAGGCGUAGAGGCCCCACACCAAUCCAUCCCGAACUUGGUGGUGAAACUCUACUGCGGUGACAAUACUUCAGGGGCAGCUCUGUGGAAAGAUAGCUCGAUGCCAGAAUC